CCUACGGGCGGCUGCAGUGGGGAAUAUUGCACAAUGGGCGCAAGCCUGAUGCAGCCAUGCCGCGUGUGUGAAGAAGGCCUUCGGGUUGUAAAGCACUUUCAGCGGGGAGGAAGGCGGUGAGGUUAAUAACCUCAUCGAUUGACGUUACCCGCAGAAGAAGCACCGGCUAACUCCGUGCCAGCAGCCGCGGUAAUACGGAGGGUGCAAGCGUUAAUCGGAAUUACUGGGCGUAAAGCGCACGCAGGCGGUCUGUCAAGUCGGAUGUGAAAUCCCCGGGCUCAACCUGGGAACUGCAUUCGAAACCGGCAGGCUAGAGUCUUGUAGAGGGGGGUAGAAUUCCAGGUGUAGCGGUGAAAUGCGUAGAGAUCUGGAGGAAUACCGGUGGCGAAGGCGGCCCCCUGGACAAAGACUGACGCUCAGGUGCGAAAGCGUGGGGAGCAAACAGGAUUAGAUACCCUUGUAGUC
rnacentral:rRNA from 1 species